ACGGCUGGGCCAAAACAGUGCCCCGCGCCGUAUCUGGGAUCGUCGCGCGCGCCAAAUUUCAAAUGUCGCUAUUGAAUAUAACAAGUUUUCAGCCUUAAACUCAACACAAUCAUCAUGUAUUAUAUAUGAAAACAUGCAGAAUUAAAUGGCGCACAUAAAAAAACUCACUACGGCCGGGCCAAAACAGUGCCCCGCGCCGUAUCUGGGAUCGUCGCGCGCGCCAAAUUUCAAAUGUUGCUAUUGAAUAUAACAAGUUUUCAGCCAUAAACUCAACACAAUCAUCAUGUAUUAUAUAUGAAAACAUGCAGAAUUAAAUGGUGCACAUAAAGAAACAUAAAUUAAUUGAUAACUUUGAGAUGUAACCAUAAAUAUAGAGAUAAAAUAACUCGUAUAUUGGCUGAAGCGAGCCAGGGCACAGUAUACACGUCCUCGGAUAUGGUACGGGGCACGCAAGGACGCAAUAUACACGUCCUCAUGUUGAAAGGGUUAAUCAUGAACAAUGAGCUCUUAUGUUAUUUUUAGGCGUGUUGUUAUUUUAUUUCACGAUGUUCUUUGUUAGGUUUUAGCAACACGGCCUUCCACCCUUUCUGUCGUGUUUCUUCCACCACUGUCCGAGCCCAGGUGAGGGUUUGAUUGGUUGUUUAUUUUUAAGUGUGUGCAAUUUAUCUCAGUCACUGCACUAUUUCACGAGAAUCAUAUUUAAGGGGCUAUUACACUGGGCACAUUUUCCGUAGAUCUUCAGUCAAACCACGAUUUCCGCUGGCGUGGUUCUCGAUUGUUUCUUGUUAUUGCUGCUGAUGGUGAUGGUGAGUAAUACCGUCGUCCUUCAGUGAAAUCUACCGUAGCUUUGGAAGAUCGUGGACACGUCAGAAAACCACGGAAAUAUGAGAACCACGCCAGCGGAAAUCGUGGUUUGACUGAAGAUCCAUGGAAAAUUUGCCCAGUGUAACAGCCCCCUAACACAAGCAUCAUAGCACACACAUAUCACUGAGGCGUCUGGCGGAGAAGGGACAAAGCUGUUUCUUCUCGUCUGUGCUGGGAGAGGCAGGAAGGAGGAGAAGGAGAGGAGAGAAAAAUCACAAUGCACUUUUUCGCUAACAAGAAAUACAGAAAAUAAAACAAAUGUGGGUAGAAAAAUCGCAUGAGGUGUCUGGUGGAGAAGGGGGACAAACCCAUUUUUUUUAGUCUGUGCUGGGAGAGGCAGGAAGGAGGAGGAGGAGGAGAGAAAAAUCACAAUGCACUUUUUCGCUAACAAGAAAUACAGAAAAUAAAACAAAUGUGGGUAGAAAAAUCGCAUGAGGUGUCUGGUGGAGAAAGGAGACAAACCCAUUUUUUUUAGUCUGUGCUGGGAGAGGCAGGAAGGAGGAGGAGGAGGAGAGAAAAAUCACAAUGCACUUUUUCGCUAACUAGAAAUACAGAAAAUAAAACAAGGAUGGGAAAAAAAGUCGCAUAAGAGCUGAGUGAGUGGAGUCAACACAGUGAAACCUCCAGUGAUGUAACAGUGACCUUGUAUUUGGUUGCUUUUCCUGUGUAGCUUGUUGUCUGUUCCUCUUGAGAUGUAUAGCCACGUUGCCAGGUCAUCGUACUCAGACCAUAGUAUUUAACGGUUUCCGAUGCCGAACUAUUGCCAAGAAGCAUCAGGAUCUAACUCUUUUAACCCGGUAGCAGCAGGGAUCAUGUUUCUUAAUGGUCCCUCUAAGCGAGAAAAAUGAGAAAAAAUCACCCCUCACACAAACAAUUUCAUAAUAUAUAUCAAAGCAUUUGUGAUCAGUUUAUGUAUCGUCUAUUUUGGGGGGUUAAAAUCAUGGCACAAAUUUGGCCCUUUGCUGCUACAUGGUAAGCCACAAAUUUGGCCCGUCGCUGCUACAUGGUGAAGCUACAAAUUUGGCCUGUUGCAGCUACACGGUAAAGCCACAAAUUUGGCCCGUCGCUGCUACACGGUAAAGCCACAAAUUUGGCCCGUCGCUGCUACACGGUAAUGCCACAAAUUUGGCCCAUCGCUGCUACACGGUAAAGCCACAAAUUUGGCCCGUCGCUGCUACACGGUAAAGCCACAAAUUUGGCCCGUCGCUGCUACACGGUAAAGCCACAAAUUUGGCCCAUCGCUGCUACACGGUAAUGCCACAAAUUUGGCCCAUCGCUGCUACACGGUAAAGCCACAAAUUUGGCCCAUCGCUGCUACAUGGUAAAGCCACAAAUUUGGCCCGUCGCUGCUACCGGGUUAACGAUAACUAUAAAUGAGUUUCGUUAUUGGAGCCCAGAAGACAUUUUUGGGGCAGGAAGUCGGGAAAUAUAAGCGGCUGAGUACGACAAUCUAGCAAUAUCGUGAGUACCCUGGCAUGGAAGAAACAGCUCUGUCCCAUACGCCCCUUCUUCAGACGCCUCACAUUCAUUAUAGCAUGUUCAUCAUAGCAUUCGAACACACAUCCUUUAGCAUUUUCAUAUAUUCUAGAUGUAGCAUUGAUAACAGCACACUCGCAUAUCUGUAAUUUAUAUGUCUACACUUCCUACCAUAAUCAACACACUCGUAUAUCUUUAAUUUAUAUGUUUACACCUUCUAACAUAAUCAACACACUCGUAUAUCUCUAAUUUAUAUGUUGACACUUCCUAACAAAGACCUAUAUCCACAGAGUCUUUCAUUGUUCAAAGCAUUCAGUGAGUUUGUUAGUUGUGGUACGGCACAGACUUUGGUAUUUGUGGUAUUUAUUAAGUUUAUAUAGAUGUGUUGUUUCGAGUCUGGUUUUAAUGUUAACGAAGAAACAGCUGUUGAGAGAGAGAGAGAGAGAGAGAGAGAGAGAGAGAGAGAGAGAGAGAGAGAGAGAGAGAGAGAGAGAGAGAGAGAGAGAGAGAGAGAGAGAGAGAGAGAGAGAGAGAGAGAGAGUAAGGGAAGGAAAGGUGAGUGAGAGGAAAAAAAAUAGAGAAAGAGAGAGAGAGAGAGAGAGAGAGAGAGAGAGAGAGAGAGAGAGAGAGAGAGAGAGAGAGAGAGAGAGAGAGAGAGAGAGACUAUACUAGCCAUUUUUCUUCCAUCCACUAGCGUAACAUCCGUGAAAUGGUCCGCCAAAGAAAAUGCCAAUGGUGCAGACUGUUCACGGCGGUCGGCCAAUAGAGGGUAUGCGUUAACCCUAUCUGGUCCUCCCCUCGCACUCCGAUCAAAACAAUACACUUUUUUGUUUUUUUACGUUCCAGUAGCUUCCUUUCCACUCAUUACUCAUCAUUGUUUUACACUAUUGAUUCGGUACCAGUGCUUAGUGUUCACGAGCGUUCCCGUUGUUCGGAUAAGUGAGUACGAUGCUAGGUGUUACGAGCGCGAAAAUUUGGAUAUGUCGGAGCGGACAGGGUUAAGGCGUUAGUUAGGAGAGGUGGCGGAAGACCUGCGUAUCUUUUUAAUGGAUGGGGAAGGAAAAAAAGGAAUGGUGAACUGUACAAGGAGGAGGAGGAGGAGGAGGAGGAGGGAGAGAGAAGGGACAAAUGUACUUCCUCUCAGACACAAAAUACGGGAAAUAAAUUAUGAACGGAAAUGAAAGUAACGGAAAUAUAAGUAAAGUAAAGUAAAGAAAAGAUAUAAAAGAUAGAAAAAUAACAAUGUACUUUUUCACCAAUAACAAAUACAGGAAAUAAAUUAUGAACGGAGAUAAAAGCAGAUAGAAAAAGAUAGAAAAAUGAUUGAUUGAUUGAUAGUUUAUUGUUGCAGGUAAACAACAAGGGAGAAGGGAGGAACAUGCCAUCCCAACCCCCAGGCAGGACAGAGUGAGAUUAUACAACUAUUAAUACAUGUGUAAAAUAACAAUGUACUUUUUCACCAAUAACAAAUACAGGAAAUAAAUUAAGAAUGGAGAUAAAAGCAGAUAGAAAAAGAUAGAAAAAUAACAAUGUACUUUCUCACCAAUAACAAAUACAGGAAAUAUAUUAAGAACGGAGAUAAAAGCAGAGAAGGAAAGAUUUGAGUUGAGCAAAGAAAUAAAGGAGGAGAAGAAAACGAAAGGAACAGAGAAAUAACAAAGGAACUCUCACAAACACGAAACACGGAAAAUAAAAUGACAGCGGAAAGAAAAGUCACAUACGUAAAGAGCCGAGGGAGUGGCAUCAACGUUGAAAAUUCCAGCGGUGAUGUGACGGUGUAAUGAUCGGAGCUUUUCACACUCGUCAGUACGUAACAAGUUCUAUAUAAAUGUUAAGUAAGGGAGUAUCAAAAUGCCAGCUACGUAACUUCCUGGCGGGCUCUUCGUAGUGGUCAGCCGGGAGCGUUUACACAUUGAUGAGCCGUAAAUGUGAUCUGAAUGUCAUAGGGUUCGGCAAGACUGUGAAGAGGGUUCCCGUAUAAAUAACUCAUAAAUGUUAUCUGAAUGAAGAAGAAGGGGAGGAGUAGGCAAAGACGAAGAAGAAGAGGAGGAGGAGGAGGAGUAGGAGAAGAAGAGGAGGAGGAGGAGAAGAAGAGAAGGAGAAACAAUAAUACAGUUUUUCGAAAUGAUCAGCUUCAAAUGACUACAUAUAAGUAAGCUGAAUGAUUGGUAUUAACCCCAAGAAUAUAUUACUGAUAGUCAGCCUAAACAGUCACUUAAUUAUAAGCUGUAACGGACGGUAUUGUACUCGUAAGCAGCAGUUCGUGGGAGAGCGUGAUCAUGACAUGUGUGAAUGGAAGUGUUGGAGAAGAAAUGAAUGGAUAGUAUUGUGUGGAGAGAAGCAAUUGGUCUUUUAAAUGUAGAUAUGACGAGCGUGAUGUUAAAGGAAGAUUUGUAAGACUGUUGGUGUGUGUUAAUGAUCCGCACUUUGGAUGUAGAUGUGAUUAGGAACUGUUAAAGAAAGAAGAAGGAAAAUAUUUAACAGCUCAGAACAGGUGGAAAAAAUAUAUGAUCUUUUAAAUGUAGAAACAUGAAAGAGAGAUUUGUAAGAUUGUUGGUGUGUGUUAAUGAUCCGCACUUUGGAUGUACAUGUGAUUAGGAACUGUUGAAGAAAGGAGUAGAAAAAUUUAACAGCUGGGAACAGGUGGAAAAAAAUAUAUGAUCUUUUAAAUGCAGAAACAUGAAAGAGAGAUUUGUAAGAUUGUUGGUGUGUGUUAAUGAUUCAAACUUUGGAUGUACAUAUGAUUAGGAACUGUUGAAGAAAGAAGAAGGAAAAUAUUUAACAGCUGGGAACAGGUGAAAAAAAUAUGUGAUCUUUUAAAUGUAGAAACAUGAAAGAGAGAUUUAUAAGAUUGUUGGUGUGUGUUAAUGAUUCAAACUUUGGAUGUACAUGUGAUUAGGAACUGUUGAAGAAAGGAGUAGAAAAAUUUAACAGCUGGGAACAGGUGGAAAAAAUAUAUGAUCUUUUAAAUGCAGAAGCGUGAAAGAGAGAUUUGUAAGAUUGUUGGUGUGUGUUAAUGAUUCAAACUUUGGAUGUACAUAUGUGAUUAGGAACUGUGGAAGAAAGACGAGAAACUGAACAGCUGGGAAUGAGUGGAGAUGCAUAUUUGAUCUAGGUAUGAAGGGCGUCAAUGUGGAAGGAAGAUUUUAUAUGAUUUACAGGUGUUUCAAUGCCUGGGUCUUUGAAUGUAGAUGUGUAUAAGAACUGUUAAGGUACAUAUUUGACCUAGGAAUGAAGAGGGUGAAUGCGGAAGGAAGAUUUUAUAUGAUUUACAAGUGUUUUAAUCCCUGGGUCUUUGAAUGUAGAUGUGUAUAAGUACUGUUAAGGAAUGAGAGAACAGCUGGGAAGGAGUGAAGAUACAUAUUUGAUCUACAUAUGAAGAGCGUCAAUGUAGAAGGAAGAUUUAUACGAUUCACAAGUGUUUUUGAAUGUACAUAUUAUAAAAAAUAGGAACUGUUGAAGCAUCUA